CAACCCUCGCUAGGGUGAGAAAAAUAACUGGGAAGAGAGAGGAAUAAUUAAUUUUCUUUUUCAGUUAUAAGUUUGCAUUCGAGAAAUU